rnacentral:rRNA from 1 species
UACGUAGGGGGCAAGCGUUGUCCGGAAUCAUUGGGCGUAAAGCGCGUGUAGGCGGCUCGGUAAGUCUGCUCUGAAAGCCCGGGGCUCAACCCUGGGAGGCGGGUGGAUACUGCUGAGCUCGAGUCCGGAAGAGGCGAGUGGAAUUCCUGGUGUAGCGGUGAAAUGCGCAGAUAUCAGGAGGAACACCAAUGGCGAAGGCAGCUCUCUGGGACGGUACUGACGCUGAGACGCGAAAGCGUGGGGAGCGAACAGG